rnacentral:rRNA from 1 species
UACGGAGGAUGCGAGCGUUAUCCGGAUUUAUUGGGUUUAAAGGGUGCGUAGGCGGGAUGCCAAGUCAGCGGUAAAAAUGCGGUGCUCAACGCCGUCGAGCCGUUGAUACUGGCGUUCUUGAGUGGGCGAGAAGUAUGCGGAAUGCGUGGUGUAGCGGUGAAAUGCAUAGAUAUCACGCAGAACUCCGAUUGCGAAGGCAGCAUACCGGCGCCCUACUGACGCUGAGGCACGAAAGCGUGGGUAUCGAACAGG